rnacentral:rRNA from 1 species
UGUUCCUUUUGUGAGCAAUUGGAAACAACCCAACACUUGCUUUUCUUAUGCCCUGUAUCUAGAGUGGUAUGGAGAACUGUUGGAGCUCUUCUUGGGACUGAUUGUUGUCCUAAUUCUGUCUGGCAAUACUAUAUUUGGGUUUACAGUUUCUUACCUAGCCUUGAACAAAUUUACACCGUUGGCUUGGCAGCUAUAUGUUGGGCCAUUUGGCUGACUCGAAACCGGUCCACCUUUGAGUCCAAAUGGAUUAACUCUCCGUUUGAGAUUGUGUUCACAGCUUGUGCUUUUCUGAUAUACUGGGGAGGCCUCCGGAAACCUGAGAUGGAAGAGAUGGUGAAGAGGGGCGCGAAGAUGCUGAAAGAGAACACAACUCAGAUGAUGCUGCUAUGCGGGCCUCCGGCGCCAACAAUGGACGGGCACGAUGGAAGUUAA